rnacentral:rRNA from 1 species
UACACUUUCGGGUGUAAGAGACCGGCGCACGGGUGCGUAACGCGUAUGCAAUCUGCCUUUUACAGGAGUAUAGCCCGGAGAAAUCCGGAUUAAUCCUCCAUGGUAUUAUGAAGUGGCAUCAUUUUAUAAUUAAAGCUUCGGCGGUAAAAGAUGAGCAUGCGUCCUAUUAGUUAGUUGGUAAGGUAACGGCUUACCAAGACAUCGAUAGGUAGGGGUCCUGAGAGGGAGAUCCCCCACACUGGUACUGAGACACGGACCAGACUCCUACGGGAGGCAGCAGUGAGGAAUAUUGGACAAUGGGCGGGAGCCUGAUCCAGCCAUGCCGCGUGCAGGAAGACAGCCCUACGGGUUGUAAACUGCUUUUACAGAGGAAGAAUAAGGGGUACGCGUACCCCGAUGACGGUACUCUGCGAAUAAGCAUCGGCUAACUCCGUGCCAGCAGCCGCGGUAAUACGGAGGAUGCAAGCGUUAUCCGGAAUCAUUGGGUUUAAAGGGUCCGUAGGCGGGCUGGUAAGUCAGUGGUGAAAGUCUGCAGCUCAACUGUAGAAUUGCCAUUGAUACUGCUGGUCUUGAAUAACUAUGAAGUAAUUAGAAUGUGUAGUGUAGCGGUGAAAUGCAUAGAUAUUACACAGAAUACCGAUUGCGAAGGCAGGUUACUAGUAGUGCAUUGACGCUGAUGGACGAAAGCGUGGGGAGCGAACAGGAUUAGAUACCCUGGUAGUCCACGCCGUAAACGAUGGAUACUAGCUGUUCGUGCCACAUUGGUGGUAUGAGUGGCCAAGCGAAAGUGAUAAGUAUCCCACCUGGGGAGUACGUUCGCAAGAAUGAAACUCAAAGGAAUUGACGGGGGC